GACGAACGCUGGCGGCGUGCUUAACACAUGCAAGUCGAACGGAAAGGCCCUGCUUGCAGGGUACUCGAGUGGCGAACGGGUGAGUAACACGUGGGUGAUCUGCCCUGCACUUCGGGAUAAGCCUGGGAAACUGGGUCUAAUACCGGAUAGAAGCCAUUUUUAGUGUGAUGGUUGGAAAGUUUUUUCGGUGUAGGAUGGGCUCGCGGCCUAUCAGCUUGUUGGUGGGGUAAUGGCCUACCAAGGCGGCGACGGGUAGCCGGCCUGAGAGGGUGGACGGCCACAUUGGGACUGAGAUACGGCCCAGACUCCUACGGGAGGCAGCAGUGGGGAAUAUUGCACAAUGGGCGGAAGCCUGAUGCAGCGACGCCGCGUGGGGGAUGACGGCCUUCGGGUUGUAAACUCCUUUCGCUAGGGACGAAGCUUUUGUGACGGUAACUAGAGAAGAAGCACCGGCUAACUACGUG
rnacentral:rRNA from 1 species